CACGUAGGGUCCGAGCGUUGUCCGGAAUUAUUGGGCGUAAAGAGCUUGUAGGCGGCCUCUCACGUCGGCUGUGAAAACCCAGGGCUCAACCCUGGGCCUGCAGUCGAUACGAGGAGGCUAGAGUGUGGUAGGGGAGACUGGAAUACCUGGUGUAGCGGUGAAAUGCGCAGAUAUCAGGUGGAACACCGGUGGCGAAGGCGGGUCUCUGGGCCAUUACUGACGCUGAGAAGCGAAAGCGUGGGGAGCGAACAGG
rnacentral:rRNA from 1 species